rnacentral:rRNA from 1 species
CCUACGGGGGGCACCAGUGGGGAAUAUUGCACAAUGGGCGCAAGCCUGAUGCAGCCAUGCCGCGUGUAUGAAGAAGGCCUUCGGGCUGUAAAGUACUAUCAGCGGGGAGGAAGGUGUUGUGGUUAAUAACCGCAGCAAUUGACGUUACCCGCAGAAGAAGCACCGGCUAACUCCGUGCCAGCAGCCGCGGUAAUACGGAGGGUGCAAGCGUUAAUCGGAAUUACCGGGCGUAAAGCGCACGCAGGCGGUCUGUCAAGUCGGAUGUGAAAUCCCCGGGCUCAACCUGGGAACUGCAUCUGAUACUGGCAAGCUUGAGUCUCGUAGAGGGGGGUAGAAUUCCAGGUGUAGCGGUGAAAUGCGUAGAGAUCUGGAGGAAUACCGGUGGCGAAGGCGGCCCCCUGGACGAAGACUGACGCUCAGGUGCGAAAGCGUGGGGAGCAAACAGGAUUAGAUACCCCGGGUAGUC